rnacentral:rRNA from 1 species
UACGUAGGGGGGCUAGCGUUGUCCGGAAUCAUUGGGCGUAAAGCGCGUGUAGGCGGUCCGGUAAGUCCGCUGUGAAAGUCGGGGGCUCAACCUCGGAUGCCGGUGGAUACUGUCGGGCUUGAGUACGGAAGAGGCGAGUGGAAUUCCUGGUGUAGUGGUGGAAUGCGUAGAUAUCGGGAGGAACACCAGUGGGCGAAAAGCGGGCGC